GACGAACGCUGGCGGCGUGCUUAACACAUGCAAGUCGAACGGAAAGGCCCUGCUUUUGUGGGGUGCUCGAGUGGCGAACGGGUGAGUAACACGUGAGUAACCUGCCCUUGACUUUGGGAUAACUUCAGGAAACUGGGGCUAAUACCGGAUAGGAGCUCCUGCUGCAUGGUGGGGGUUGGAAAGUUUCGGCGGUUGGGGAUGGACUCGCGGCUUAUCAGCUUGUUGGUGGGGUAGUGGCUUACCAAGGCUUUGACGGGUAGCCGGCCUGAGAGGGUGACCGGCCACAUUGGGACUGAGAUACGGCCCAGACUCCUACGGGAGGCAGCAGUGGGGAAUAUUGCACAAUGGGCGGAAGCCUGAUGCAGCAACGCCGCGUGCGGGAUGACGGCCUUCGGGUUGUAAACCGCUUUCGCCCGUGACGAAGCGUGAGUGACGGUAAUGGGUAAAGAAGCACCGGCUAACUACGUGCCAGCAGCCGCGGUGAUACGUAGGGUGCGAGCGUUGUCCGGAUUUAUUGGGCGUAAAGGGCUCGUAGGUGGUUGAUCGCGUCGGAAGUGUAAUCUUGGGGCUUAACCCUGAGCGUGCUUUCGAUACGGGUUGACUUGAGGAAGGUAGGGGAGAAUGGAAUUCCUGGUGGAGCGGUGGAAUGCGCAGAUAUCAGGAGGAACACCAGUGGCGAAGGCGGUUCUCUGGGCCUUUCCUGACGCUGAGGAGCGAAAGCGUGGGGAGCGAACAGGCUUAGAUACCCUGGUAGUCCACGCUGUAAACGGUGGGUACUAGGUGUGGGGUCCAUUCCACGGGUUCCGUGCCGUAGCUAACGCUUUAAGUACCCCGCCUGGGGAGUACGGCCGCAAGGCUAAAACUCAAAGGAAUUGACGGGGCCCCGCACAAGCGGCGGAGCAUGCGGAUUAAUUCGAUGCAACGCGUAGAACCUUACCUGGGUUUGACAUGGAUCGGGAGUGCUCAGAGAUGGGUGUGCCUCUUUUGGGGUCGGUUCACAGGUGGUGCAUGGCUGUCGUCAGCUCGUGUCGUGAGAUGUUGGGUUAGGUCCCGCAACGAGCGCAACCCUUGUUCACUGUUGCCAGCACGUUAUGGUGGGGACUCAGUGGAGACCGCCGGGGUCAACUCGGAGGAAGGUGGGGAUGACGUCAAGUCAUCAUGCCCCUUAUGUCCAGGGCUUCACGCAUGCUACAAUGGCUGGUACAGAGAGUGGCGAGCCUGUGAGGGUGAGCGAAUCUCGGAAAGCCGGUCUCAGUUCGGAUUGGGGUCUGCAACUCGACCUCAUGAAGUCGGAGUCGCUAGUAAUCGCAGAUCAGCAACGCUGCGGUGAAUACGUUCCCGGGGCU
rnacentral:rRNA from 1 species